rnacentral:rRNA from 1 species
AUUGAACGCUGGCGGAAUGCUUUACACAUGCAAGUCGAACGGCAGCACGGGGCAACCUGGUGGCGAGUGGCGAACGGGUGAGUAAUACAUCGGAACGUGCCCAAUCGUGGGGGAUAACGUAGCGAAAGUUACGCUAAUACCGCAUACGAUCUACGGAUGAAAGCGGGGGAUCGCAAGACCUCGCGCGAAUGGAGCGGCCGAUGUCAGAUUAGGUAGUUGGUGGGGUAAAGGCUCACCAAGCCAACGACCUGUAGCUGGUCUGAGAGGACGAGCAGCCAAACUGGGACUGAGACACGGCCCAACCUCCUACGGGAGGCAGCAGUGGGGAAUUUUGGACAAUGGGCGCAAGCCUGAUCCGGCCAUUCCGCGUGCAGGAUGAAGGCCUUCGGGUUGUAAACUGCUUUUGUACGGAACGAAACGGCUCUCUCUAAUACAGGGGGCUAAUGACGGUACCGUAAGAAUAAGCACCGGCUAACUACGUGCCAGCCGCCGCAGUAAUAC